CGAUGUCCCGGGGGGCUGCAGAGACACGGGUGUCCCGGAGGGCUGCAGGGACACGGGCCAGCAAAGAAAUGUUUCUGCCCAGCCUCCCUCUUGGAUUCAACCAUGUCAAAACCUCCUUGUCUCCCACUGGUUUCACCAGCAGCGUGAGCUGGGAGAUCCCAGAUCCCAGGCUGAGCACCAGGCUGGCUGUGCAGGGAAGCCUGGGAGAGCUGGUGGUGGAACAGCAGAGAGGGGGAGUCGCUCCUUCGGCAGAUCCCAGGCAAGAACAGGGAGAAUCUGCCGGGGCAGAUCCGCGUUUCCCACUGCUGCCCAGAGGUGAGGUGGAUUUUUGAGGAUGCUCCAGCUCCAGCCACAGCGGCCUUCCACAGCCUCCCAAGCACUGCCAGACCUUCCCAAUCCAGCUUGAAAUUCAUUUGAUCACUGGCAAAGCCUUGUUGUUCAUUUCUGUGUUUGAUUCUCUGCUCAGGGGUUUGGUUCCAUGAAUGCUGGACCCUGGUAAAAAAGAUGCUGGGUUAUUUC